GGUGAACGCUGGCGGCGUGCCUAAUACAUGCAAGUCGAGCGAACAGACGAGGAGCUUGCGCCUCUGACGUUAGCGGCGGACGGGUGAGUAAGACGUGGAUAACCUACCUAUAAGACUGGGAUAACUUCGGGAAACCGGAGCUAAUACCGGAUAAUAUAUUGAACCGCAUGGUUCAAUAGUGAAAGACGGUUUUGCUGUCACUUAUAGAUGGAUCCGCGCCGCAUUAGCUAGUUGGUAAGGUAACGGCUUACCAAGGCGACGAUGCGUAGCCGACCUGAGAGGGUGAUCGGCCACACUGGAACUGAGACACGGUCCAGACUCCUACGGGAGGCAGCAGUAGGGAAUCUUCCGCAAUGGGCGAAAGCCUGACCGAGCCACGCCGCGUGAGUGAUGAAGGUCUUCGGAUCGUAAAACUCUGUUAUUAGGGAAGAACAACUGUGUAAGUAACUAUGCACGUCUUGACGGUACCCAAUCAGAAAGCCACGGCUAACUACGUG
rnacentral:rRNA from 1 species